UUCGUAGGCGGUCUGUUAAGUCAGAGGUGAAAUCUAACGGCUCAACCGUUAACCUGCCUUUGAAACUGGCAGACUUGAGUAUUGGAGAGGAAAGCGGAAUUCUUGGUGUAGCGGUGAAAUGCGUGGAUAUCAAGAGGAACACCCGUGGCGAAGGCGGCUUUCUGGCCAAAUACUGACGCUGAGGAACGAAAGCUAGGGGAGCGAACAGGAUUAGAUACCCUGGUAGUCC
rnacentral:rRNA from 1 species